GAUGAACGCUGGCGGCGUGCCUAACACAUGCAAGUCGAGCGGAAGGACGAGGUUCGGGCUGGUCUGAAGUUAGGGACGGGCGGGUAAGUAAAAGGAGCGUAACCUACAGAUAAGGAUGGGGUAACUACAGGAAAGCGAAGACAAUACCGGAUCAUUUGUUGAAACGAGGGGAUCGAUAGGCCAAGACGGCCUUGAGGUAACGAGAAGAUAGUACCGUGCCGCAUUGGUAAGUUGGUAAGGUAACGGCGAACCAAGGCGACGAUGCGUAGCCGACCUGAGAGGCCGACCAGCCACACUGGAACUGAGACACGGUCCAGACUCCUACGGGAGGCAGCAGUGGGGAAUUUUGCACAAUGGGCGAAAGCCUGACGCAGCAAUGCCGCGUGAGUGAAGAAGGUCUUCGGAUCGUAAAACUCUGUUAUUAGGGAAGAACCGAUGGAGACGUAUCUAAGCACGUCAUGACGGUACCUAAUGAGAAAGCCCCGGCUAACUACGUG
rnacentral:rRNA from 1 species